rnacentral:misc_RNA from 1 species
UGGAGAUGGUAGCUUGCAGUGCUUGUCUUUGUAUAUAAAUUCAUUUUUUGGGCAAAAUAACAUAGUGCUAGUAUAGAUUGUAAAAGCAACAUGGGCUUCGAAUAAUGAAGAACUAUGAAUUUUCGAACUAAAUUUAUCUUCUUUUAAUCAUAUGUACUCUGUUUUUGUUUAGAAUCAGAGAAUGUUCAUUCUUUUGAUGUUAAUAUUUUUGUUAGAACACCUGUAGCAUUCAUUUCGUUUCGUAUAUGCUUGCUGUUGCUGGCAUAAGACGAGAAUAAUAUAAUAUGCUCUUGGAAUGCAUUCGUCCAGACUUCAUCCAAAAGGCCAGUUCAGGGGGAGAGCUUAUCGAAUCAGUGAACCAAGAAUGUCUUGAAAAUUUAGCAAGCAAUUAGUUAAUGGACCAUUUUCGCUUUCUUUCGAUGAUUCCUUAUUGUAUCAGAAAGAUUAGGUGUGUAGAGAGAUGGUUUCUGUGUUGGUGAGGCCGAUUUUGCAAGUUUUGAACAUGGAUGGGCAUCAACUACCGCUGAUUGGACCUGGCCACUUAAAAGGGUUCGGUUUCGAUUUGAUCUGAUCCAGUCAGAUUUGUAAGUUAAACCUCCAAUUUAAGGUUUAUAGGAUUGGGA